rnacentral:rRNA from 1 species
GAGGGCGCAAGCGUUAAUCGGAAUUACUGGGCGUAAAGCGCGCGUAGGCUGUUUCGUAAGUCAGGGGUGAAAUCCCACGGCUCAACCGUGGAACUGCCUUUGAUACUGCGGGACUUGAAUCCGGGAGAGGGUGGCGGAAUUCCAGGUGUAGGAGUGAAAUCCGUAGAUAUCUGGAGGAACACCGGUGGCGAAGGCGGCCACCUGGCCCGGUAUUGACGCUGAGGUGCGAAAGCGUGGGGAGCAAA